AGUCAAUAGAUACCCGGGUAGUCCACGCCGUAAACGAUGAAUACUAGGUGUAGGGGUUGUCAUGACCUCUGUGCCGCCGCUAAACGCAUUAAGUAUUCCGCCUGGGGAGUACGGUCGCAAGAUUAAAACUCAAAGGAAUUGACGGGGGCCCGCACAAGCAGCGGAGCAUGUGGUUUAAUUCGAAGCAACGCGAAGAACCUUACCUAGACUUGACAUCUCCUGAAUUACUCUGUAAUGGAGGAAGCCCUUCGGGGCAGGAAGACAGGUGGUGCAUGGUUGUCGUCAGCUCGUGUCGUGAGAUGUUGGGUUAAGUCCCGCAACGAGCGCAACCCUUAUUGUUAGUUGCUACCAUUAAGUUGAGCACUCUAGCGAGACUGCCCGGGUUAACCGGGAGGAAGGUGGGGAUGACGUCAAAUCAUCAUGCCCCUUAUGUCUAGGGCUACACACGUGCUACAAUGGCUGGUACAGAGAGAUGCUAAACCGCGAGGUGGAGCCAAACUUUAAAACCAGUCUCAGUUCGGAUUGUAGGCUGAAACUCGCCUAC
rnacentral:rRNA from 1 species